rnacentral:rRNA from 1 species
UGGGGAAUUUUGGACAAUGGGGGAAACCCUGAUCCAGCCAUCCCGCGUGUGCGAUGAAGGCCUUCGGGUUGUAAAGCACUUUUGGCAGGAAAGAAACGUCAUGGGUUAAUACCCCGUGAAACUGACGGUACCGGCAGAAUAAGCACCGGCUAACUACGUGCCAGCAGCCGCGGUAAUACGUAGGGUGCAAGCGUUAAUCGGAAUUACUGGGCGUAAAGCGUGCGCAGGCGGUUCGGAAUGAAAGAUGUGAAAUCCCAGAGCUCAACUUUGGAACUGCAUUUUUAACUACCGGGAUAGGGUGUGUCAGAGGGAGGUGGAAUUCCGCGUGUAGCAGUGAAAUGCGUAGAUAUGCGGAGGAACACCGAGGGCGAAGGCAGCCUCCUGGGAUAACACUGACGCUCAUGCACGAAGGCGUGGGGAGCAAACAGG